rnacentral:rRNA from 1 species
GCGAACAAGUACCAUGAGGGAAAGUUGAAAAGUACUCUGAAGAGAGAGUAAACAGUACGUGAAGCCGCAUGCAGGUAAACGGGUGGCGUCAAGCUGCGAGCCCGGAGGAUUCAGCUGACUGGGAUGUAGUGUACGCGCGCCUGGUGCGUCGAGAGGCCGGAGUAAGAUGUGGCGAUCCACUCUUCUGCUGGGAGUGGGGUGCGAUCGAUGUGCGCUUGCGUAUGUCGGUUGUUGCUAUGUAUGCCGGGUAGGUGCCGGAGCAUGUCGCCUAUCUGUUGGGCCACCUAGUCAGUGCAUUUUCUCCGUGGUGAACACCACGAUCGGUGGAACUGCCAGUCUGCUGUGAUCAAGUCGUGUUCUCCCGGCGCGUUACUGUGUUGGUUGGAUACGAUCGCAGGUGGAGUCGGUGAACGGCGCAGUGGUACUUCGGUAUUGCCGCGUGUUAUCGUGCACUCUCCGUCGUAAACGGUUAGCAGGAUUGACUAAGUGCUGUGACUACUUUCCUACUAACUGGCAGAUCAUAGUGGUGAAAGGGACUGUGCAGGGCACCGGAGUUGUCCACCUCAUUCAAUAUGGUAUCCGACACGCACGUUACAGGUGCUAUACAAUCGGGGUACGCCGCUGUCUGUCUGGUAUUUGGCCUGACUGUCGUGUCGCCUGCGCAAAGUGGGUCCGGCAGUGGUUUUAGUGCUUGGCAGUUGCAGUGUGUUGCGUAUUUCGGGUGUCUGUG